CAUGGUCAUGAGUAAAGCGCGAAACAAAAUGAAUUAAAAUAAGUCAACUGAAUGCAUGGCCAAGAUUAGAUCGUGUGAGCCUCAUCCAAGGGUCUAGGUUCAACCACGUGGGGAUGGUGGUGGAAACCACCAUCUUCUCCGGUGGACCAACUAAUUCCGACCACCAGUUGCAGGUUUUUGAACCUCAACCAAAACACACGAGCCAGGUACCAAAAUGGAGUUGGGGUGAUGCA
rnacentral:lncRNA from 1 species